CAGCCGCCGCGGUAAUACGAAGGGGGCUAGCGUUGUUCGGAUUUACUGGGCGUAAAGCGCACGUAGGCGGACUUUUAAGUCAGGGGUGAAAUCCCGGGGCUCAACCCCGGAACUGCCUCUGAUACUGGGAGUCUUGAGUUCGAGAGAGGUGAGUGGAAUUGCGAGUGUAGAGGUGAAAUUCGUAGAUAUUGGGAAGAACACCAGUGGCGAAGGCGGCUCACUGGACCGACACUGACGCUGAGGCGCGAAAGCGUGAGGAGCAAACAGGAUUAGAUACCCCAGUAGUCCCUGUCUCUUAUAC
rnacentral:rRNA from 1 species